GGGAGUAUGACUUAAUGGUAGAGUGCUUGCCUAGCAAGCAAGAGGCCCUGGUUCCAGACCCCAGCACUGCAA
rnacentral:tRNA from 1 species